CGGGAUAGGAAUGUUCUUCAAAGAGGAAAUUCUCAAAUGUUUAGAAGAACAAAAGGAAAAAGGGCACAGCUCAUGGUGAAGAAAAAUGUAUCACCAUUGGGUUCAUUGAUGAUGAAGAAAAACCUGAGCAAGUAAUUACUGGGUCAUCAAGUGAUGAUGAGGGCAAUUAUCAAAACCUAGAUCUUGCAAACCCGGAGAUGAAGA
rnacentral:misc_RNA from 1 species